UGCAGUCGAACGAGAGAGAGGGAGCUUGCUUCCUUGAUCGAGUGGCGAACGGGUGAGUAACGCGUGAGGAACCUGCCUCAAAGAGGGGGACAACAGUUGGAAACGACUGCUAAUACCGCAUAAGCCCACGGCUCGGCAUCGAGCAGAGGGAAAAGGAGCAAUCCGCUUUGAGAUGGCCUCGCGUCCGAUUAGCUAGUUGGUGAGGUAACGGCCCACCAAGGCGACGAUCGGUAGCCGGACUGAGAGGUUGAACGGCCACAUUGGGACUGAGACACGGCCCAGACUCCUACGGGAGGCAGCAGUGGGGAAUAUUGCACAAUGGGGGAAACCCUGAUGCAGCGACGCCGCGUGGAGGAAGAAGGUCUUCGGAUUGUAAACUCCUGUUGUUGAGGAAGAUAAUGACGGUACUCAACAAGGAAGUGACGGCUAACUACGUGCCAGCAGCCGCGGUAAAACGUAGGUCACAAGCGUUGUCCGGAAUUACUGGGUGUAAAGGGAGCGCAGGCGGGCGAUCAAGUUGGAAGUGAAAUCCAUGGGCUCAACCCAUGAACUGCUUUCAAAACUGAUUGUCUUGAGUAGUGCAGAGGUAGGCGGAAUUCCCGGUGUAGCGGUGGAAUGCGUAGAUAUCGGGAGGAACACCAGUGGCGAAGGCGGCCUACUGGGCACCAACUGACGCUGAGGCUCGAAAGUGUGGGUAGCAAACAGGAUUAGAUACCCUGGUAGUCCACACCGUAAACGAUGAUUACUAGGUGUUGGAGGAUUGACCCCUUCAGUGCCGCAGUUAACACAAUAAGUAAUCCACCUGGGGAGUACGACCGCAAGGUUGAAACUCAAAGGAA
rnacentral:rRNA from 1 species